rnacentral:rRNA from 1 species
GACGAACGCUGGCGGCAUGCUUAACACAUGCAAGUCGAACGGAAAGGCCCUGCUUUUGUGGGGUGCUCGAGUGGCGAACGGGUGAGUAACACGUGAGUAACCUGCCCUUGACUUUGGGAUAACUUCAGGAAACUGGGGCUAAUACCGGAUAGGAGCUCCUGCUGCAUGGUGGGGGUUGGAAAGUUUCGGCGGUUGGGGAUGGACUCGCGGCUUAUCAGCUUGUUGGUGGGGUAGUGGCUUACCAAGGCUUUGACGGGUAGCCGGCCUGAGAGGGUGACCGGCCACAUUGGGACUGAGAUACGGCCCAGACUCCUACGGGAGGCAGCAGUGGGGAAUAUUGCACAAUGGGCGGAAGCCUGAUGCAGCAACGCCGCGUGCGGGAUGACGGCCUUCGGGUUGUAAACCGCUUUCGCCUGUGACGAAGCGUGAGUGGCGGUAAUGGGUAAAGAAGCACCGGCUAACUACGUG